rnacentral:rRNA from 1 species
AUUGAACGCUGGCGGCAGGCCUAACACAUGCAAGUCGAGCGGAUGAAGGGAGCUUGCUCCUGGAUUCAGCGGCGGACGGGUGAGUAAUGCCUAGGAAUCUGCCUGGUAGUGGGGGAUAACGUCCGGAAACGGGCGCUAAUACCGCAUACGUCCUGAGGGAGAAAGUGGGGGAUCUUCGGACCUCACGCUAUCAGAUGAGCCUAGGUCGGAUUAGCUAGUUGGUGGGGUAAAGGCCUGCCAAGGCGACGAUCCGUAACUGGUCUGAGAGGAUGAUCAGUCACACUGGAACUGAGACACGGUCCGGACUCCUACGGGAGGCAGCAGUGGGGAAUAUUGGACAAUGGGCGAAAGCCUGAUCCAGCCAUGCCGCGUGUGUGAAGAAGGUCUUCGGAUUGUAAAGCACUUUAAGUUGGGAGGAAGGGCAGUAAGUUAAUACCUUGCUGUUUUGACGUUACCAACAGAAUAAGCACCGGCUAACUUCGUG